GUCCCAUGGCAAUGGCUCCAUGAAAUGGCUCCAUGGCAAUGGCUUCAUGGCAAUGGCUCCAUGGCAAUGGCUCCAUUGAAUGUCUCCAUGGCAAUGGCUCCAUGGCAAUGGCUUCAUGGGAAUGGCUCCAUGGCAAUGGCUCCAUGGCAAUGGUCCUAUGGCAAUGGCUCCAUGAAAUGGCUCCAUGGCAAUGGCUUCAUGGGAAUGGCUCCAUGGCAAUCGUUCCAUGCGAAUGGCUCCAUAGAAAUGGCUCAGUGGGAACAGCUCUGUGGGAAUGGCUCCAUGGCAAUGUCUCCAUGGCAUGGAGGGGUGUCGGUGUGUUGGUGGCAGUGUCCCACAGCCCACACAUCCAUGGGAUCAGUGUGGGGUGGGAUUUGUCCCCUGUGUCCAUUGAGGAGUUCUGGGACACUUCAGUGUCUCCGUGGAAAUGCCAGAAUGUGAAGAAAUUGUGUGUGAGGCUGGCAUGAUCCACAGCUGGGGAAAAGGGAGAGGAAGGGAAACCAGGAUUGCCAGGGGAAUCAACAGGAGAUUCCAGAGGGAGCUGAAGAACUCUGCAGUUGCUGCAGAGUUUGAGCUGAUCCUUUGAAAUACACACUUCUCUGGGCUCCACAUUGAUCUCCAACACUGCCUUUGCCUAAAUCAAACCCCAAACAGAGCCUAAAUUUCUUCCUGAGCUUUUGAUCCAGAAUUCCAAAUUCUUUGAUGGAAAAGGCAGAGGGAGCAAUGCAAGAGUGAGGGAUCCCUCCCUGCCACACAGCUGCUUCCCAGCAUUCUCAGGACUCACCAAUUCUGUAAUAAUCCUUGUCCAGGUCUUUGCAGAAGCCCUUCCCGUUGGCCACCUCCAGGGAAUACUCGAUCAGCAGCAGGACACUCAUGACCUGGAAAACAAAGCAAAAAACACAAUUCAGGGGCCUUGGGCCAAAUUCCCAGCUGUGAAUUUAUUUCCAGGGGACCUGGAUGGAUGAGUCGCCAAGUGAGCCAAACACAAAUGGUUAAAUCCCAGGAAAUUCUGAGACAACAGUUAUCAGUUUAUUAAUAUUUUGGAUUUAACUGCCAGCAGAAGGAGGAUGGAGAAAUUACAAAGGCACAGAUCCAGAGGCUGAAGUUGAGCAGGAGGAACCCUCUCUGAUGUCUGCCAGAGAAAAACAAGGCCCUGGUUUCCUUGCUGGUGAGGAAAUGAGCCACACAACCCAGACCAAGUGCAGUCACACAAGAUAAGGACAUGGCAGGAAACCCCAGCCCAGCCUGAGAGAUUCAGGAGACUUUUAAGGCAAAAAAUGCCCAGGAUUUAUUCCAGUUGUCUCUGAAGAGAUCAGCAGUGAGGCAGAGCUGAUUUCUGGGAGGAGAACACCUUGCCACAGAGCCUGAGAGCUCUGUGGUGGCACUGCUGUCACCCAGCAUGGCUGGGAUUCAUCCCAGCACAUGCAGCAGGAAUUUAUCCUGAUCCAAAGCCCCAGAACUGAUGGAGGAAAUCAGCCAAGGGCAAGAGGCAUGGUAGAGCUCCUGCUGCUCUGGGGAAGAGGGGGGACCUUGGAAUGUCCUUCCUGUCCACAGCUGCUGAUCCCAUGGGAUUUCUGCAGGCUGCAGGUCCCGGUCCUCAGCUCCCUCUCUGCUGUCCAAGGAGUGGGACAGAAAUUCCCUGUUUAUACACCUAUGGAGCGGAUUGUUCUGGGCUUUCUGACAAAGGUUUGAUGUGUCCCAGCAGGGACAGCUCUCCAGGAGGGAAAUGAAGGUAAAUAAAAUGAGAAUUGGGCAAACACUCACAUGAGCUCUUGUGGGUGUCACAUCCCAAAAACGCUCCCUGGAUUUGCUGUUUGAUGCCUUCAGAAGCCUUGCCAGUACAGCAUCCCUGCAGUGAUGCAGCACAGGGGCUUCUUGGUUUUUUUAAUGGAAUUAAAUACAGAGAUUCCGUCUGGGUGCUUCAUAAAUACAAUCCAACUGCAAAUAUUAUUGGUGGAUCUCUGGUAGAGCAGGAAGGUGAAAUCUCUUCACCAGUAGGGAAAGCACUAAGCUGCAGGUGAGGACUGUGGGCACCACAUCCACCAGCGCCCCUGGAGCUACAUUCACCUGUGAGAAAUAGGCUUAAAAAUCAGGUUUAUUUUUACAAAUGGAUCAUUUUGGGCAUCUCUCCUUUACUAACCAGAUGCAAACAUGGGCUUGGCUUUGCCUUCCCCACAUGAAAUGUGUUUUCUUUAGGGGCUGCCUCCACUCAUGAUAAAUAGGGUUAAAAAUAAGUUUUAUUUUUAAAAAUAGAUAAUUUUGAGCAUCUUUCCUAUACAACAGGCUUGGCUUUGCCUUCCCCAUAUGAAAUGUGUUUUCUUUAGGGGCUGCCUCCACUCCAAGCCAGUUUGUGGAGGGAGGUGCAGGAGGAUGAAGGAUUUCCUGCAGAUCUGAAAAGCUGGUUUAUGAUCUGACCCUGCCCCUUGUCCCCUCAGGGGCACACAGAGCUCUCCUUGUGUGCCCAAGCUUACCAAACCCAAACUGAGCUCUGGCUGCAGAAAAACAAACACAAACAGAUACAAGUCUGUUCCAUUUCUUUUUCAGUUGGUGCUGCAAUGAGCAAAUCAUCCAUGUAGUGUAAAAUUCUUGACUGUGGGUGUUUUUGUCGGGCUGGAGACAAAGCUUUUGCCAUGAAAUAUUGACAAAUAGUAGGCAAAUUUUUCAUCCCUUGCAGCAAAACUGUCCAAUGGUAAAACCUUUGCAGCGGUUUUCCUCUAUUGAUGGCUGGAACCGAAAAGGCAAACCCAGGAGCAUCUUCUGGAUGCAAUGGAAUGUUGAGAAAACAAUCUUUUGAGUCGAUGACAACAAGAGGCCAGUCUCUUAGUGUCACUGUUAAGUCAGAAAUGACACACAGUCGGUCAGAAGUGGCAUAAACGCACUGCCAUCACUGAAACCACUUCUUUUAUAGACUGGUCCGACACAGGUGGACCUGAUUGGUUAUUUAAUCAAUACAAUUCACCUGACUGGCUAAUUAACAAGACUUUAACAUUUGUAAACAACCUUACGAGAAUAACAGGAAAGCAGAUUAUUAGAAAAACACCACCUACAGCCUGUCACAUCCACAGCUUGGAAUCUUUGAAAGAGAGGGAACUCCAGGCUGCAGAGGCCCCAUGUCCUCUUGAUCUCGUUGAUGUUCCUCAGGCCGUGCUGCAAUCUCCAGGAAUCAGAAGUCUUCUUAUGAAUGACAUAAACUGGGAAAAGCUGAGGCUGGGGUGCUGCUGGAGCCUGGAAACCACUGAGGCCUGGCAGUGCCACCCCCAUGUCCCCUCUGGGGACUCCAGGUUUUAGGAGGUUGCUCUGCUCAAAGGGACACAGCCUUGGCUGGACAUGGAAUGCCGGACGUGGAUUUGAGGUGUUUUGUUGUGCUUUGUCUGUGACUCCUUCCUGGCAGCAGUUCCAGAUGGAAUUUCUCCUUGGAGGGGUCAUCAGAGCAUCUCCCACCAGGAGAGGCUGGGACCAGGCCCUGUCCCUUGUCCCCAGAGCAGGGAAGAAUUCCAGCCCUGUGUGAGCUGCUCCUCAAGGAAAGCUGGGCUGGAGGGUGGGGCAGCCAUUGGGAAUAAAUCCAACAAUAAAUGAAUAAAUAAAAUAAAUAUAUAAAUAUAAACAUGCCAAUAAUAAAUAAAAAUAAAUAUAAUAUCAUUAUAUAAUAUAUAGAAUAUGUGUUAUAUAAUAUAUUCUAUAUUAAUACAAAUAUAUAAAAAGAAACAUAAUAUCAUGGAUAUAAUAGAUAUAAUACAUAUGCUAUAAUAUUAUUGAAAUAUUGAAAUAUUUUAUAUUUUAAAAUAAUAUAAAUAUUAAUAUUAUAAAUAUAGAUAAUAUAAGUAUGUCAAAUAAAAUAAAUAAAGAAUGAAUAUAAAUAUAUGUCUUGGUUUAGGGCAAAUUUGGGAGGAAACUUUUGAAGUGGUUUACUUUAGAAAAUAAAUUCAACCUGGCUCUCCUCUAACUGGUUCUUCCCCCUUUGCUCUCAGACUUAAAGGGUAAACUUAAUAUCCAGCAUAAACAGAACAGACUGGGGAUACAAGCAUCAUAAAGUCACCCUGAGACAAUAUAAUAAUGCAUUUUGAUAAAUAUAUUUAUUAUGUUAUCUAAAUAUACAUAAAUAUAAAAAUACAAAUAAAUAUCUAUGCAAAAAAAAGUAAAUAAAUAUAAAAUC